AAAACAAUAAUGCUUCCUCCAUUUUUUUUUCUUCUCUAGGACAAUCGGAUCAGCCUGGUGGACUACCUGGUCUCAUAUGACCUUCACAAUGUUGACAAGAAUGCCGGAACAGACAAAAGUGCGUUUCCACUUCCUGAACCACAGGACGUCUUCUUGGCAUCGCAGCUCAAUUUUGAGGACCUCAUUGCAGAGCUAAAAAGGCUCGGCCGAGACCUAGCAGAAUGUGCCAAGGGUGUGCGGAAAGUCUGCUCGGACUUCCCUGAGGAACACCUGCAGCCGUUUAAAGACCGAAUGGAGACGUUUCUCCUUAGUGCGGGCAAAGAACAUGUCGGAGCUUCCUAUCAGUUAAUGUCGGCCCAAAAGAGUUUCCAGGACUUGUGCGUUUACUUUGGCAUGAAGCCCAAAGCGGGAGAAAAGGAGGUGAUGUCCAGUCAUUUCUUCAUGCUGUGGUUUUGAGUUUUGCACCGACUUCAAGGCCAGGUGGAAGCGGGAGAAUCGGAACUUCACUAAAGAAAGGUUAAAAGAGGCCCAGCAGUCAGUGAGGAGGAUCACAGCGGAAAAGAAAGUGGAGACCAGAAAAUUUCUACAGA